rnacentral:piRNA from 1 species
UACUGCUCCCUGGUGACUGUAGGUGG